GACGAACGCUGGCGGCGUGCUUAACACAUGCAAGUCGAACGGUAAGGCCCUUCGGGGUACACGAGUGGCGAACGGGUGAGUAACACGUGGGUGAUCUGCCCUGCACUUCGGGAUAAGCCUGGGAAACUGGGUCUAAUACCGGAUAGGACUCCGGACUGCAUGGUCUGGGGUGGAAAGCUUUUGCGGGGUGGGAGGGGCCCGCGGCCUAUCAGCUUGUUGGUGGGGUGAUGGCCUACCAAGGCGACGACGGGUAGCCGGCCUGGGAGGGUGACCGGCCACACUGGGACUGAGAUACGGCCCAGACUCCUACGGGAGGCAGCAGUGGGGAAUAUUGCACAAUGGGCGCAAGCCUGAUGCAGCGACGCCGCGUGAGGGAUGACGGCCUUCGGGUUGUAAACCUCUUUCAGCAUCGACGAAGCGAAAGUGACGGUAGGUGCAGAAGAAGGGCCGGCCAACUACGUGCCAGCCGCCGCAGUAA
rnacentral:rRNA from 1 species